AUGCGGUGUAGGCGCCAUCUCUUCUCCGGCCCAGUCCGCCUGACUGUGUACGUACGUGUCUCCGUCGCUAUCCUAUUUAAACCUCCUCCUCCUCCUCCUCUCUCGACUCUGUCUGCAUCGCAUCCAUCCAUCCAUCCAGGGCUGGCCACCGUACGCCUCCUUCUCUCCCGUCUCCGGCAACGACCAACUCCGGCGGAUCCUCCUCGCUCCUCCGCCCCGCCGCGCAUUCUUCAGGGAGAAGCUAAGCAGGAGAUCAGCAGGGGACUAAGGAGGAGACUUGAUCCUACCGACAUCAGGACUGGGAAGAUGGGUUUCCUGUCACUGCUCGUCGUGGCUUCCAUGCCCAUCGUCCAGGUCCUGCUCAUCGGCGUCAUCGGAGCCUUCCUCGCCUCGGGGUACAGCAAGGUUCUCACCGCCAGCGCUCGCAGGGACAUGAACAAGGUUGUUUUUACAGUCUUCACCCCGUCUCUCAUCUUCGCCAACCUCGCCAAGACGGUCACACUGUCCGACGUCAUCUCCUGGUGGUUCAUGCCGGUGAACAUAGCAAUCACAUUCCUGGUUGGCAGUGCUCUAGGCUGGCUAGCGUGCAAGAUCCUGAAACCGCCGCCGCAUUUCCGUGGCCUCAUCAUGGCCUUCUGCUCAGCAGGAAACCUCGGCAACCUGCUGCUGAUCGUCGUCCCGGCCGUCUGCGACGAAGACGGCAACCCGUUUGGGAACGACCGGAGCCAGUGCCGCUCGCGCGGCCUCUCCUACUCGUCGCUGUCCAUGGCUCUCGGUGGCCUCUUCAUAUGGACGUACACCUACAGCUUGAUGCAGAAGUCCGGCAAACUGUACCACAAGAUGCAGUCCAAGAGCGUCCAGUGCCCCGCCGACAGCGACGAGGAGCAUCUCCAGGGAUUCAAAGCCGGCGACGAGGAAGCGGCUCUCCCCGCAUCGGCUGGACCCGAUGACGAACACAACGAGGGGAGCCAGAUUGAGGCUCCACUACUGUCGUGUGAGAGCGAUGUCGCCAACAACAAAGGGUUCUGGGUAAACCUGAAGGAGGCCGUGCACCAGCUCGUCGAGGAGCUCAUGGCGCCGCCGACCAUAUCCGCGAUGAUUGGAUUCGUUGUUGGGCUAGUGCCAUGGCUGAAGUCGCUGAUCAUCGGCGAAGGCGCCCCUUUCAGAGUUAUCCAGGAUUCUCUGGAGUUGAUGGGCAAUGGCACCAUACCCUGCAUCACCCUCAUCCUGGGAGGAAACCUGACACAAGGGCUGCGGAAGUCGGUGCUGAAGCGCAUGGUGAUCGUGGCGAUCGUGUUUAUCCGCUACGUGGCUAUGCCGGUGAUCGGGAUCGCCGUCGUCCGCGCGGCGCACGGGGUCGGGUUCCUUCCCCAUGACCCUCUCUACCGGUACGUGCUGAUGUUGCAGUUCGCGCUGCCGCCCGCUAUGAACAUCGGGACCAUGGCGCAGCUGUUCGACGUCGGGCAGGAGGAGUGCUCGGUGAUCUUCCUGUGGACGUACCUAGUUGCUGCGGUCGCGCUCACCACAUGGUCCACCGUCUUCAUGUCCAUUCUCUCCUGA
rnacentral:rRNA from 1 species